rnacentral:siRNA from 1 species
CUAGGAAAUACUCUUGUGCA